UGAGGCUGUGUGGCUCCAGUUUUCUUCUGCAAGCCUAUUUGUCUGACAUUGGAUCGUGGAGGACAGUGUGCUCAGAUGGAUGGGCUGAUCACCAUGGGAAGGCAGCCUGACAGUGUUUAGGAUACAGCAGAGACACAUGUUAAAUCUGGCCGACAAAUGCCAGUGGAUUCUUAAUGCUGAAGUCUGGAUCAAGCCCUGACACACCCAUAAUGCAACAGCUUGCGGGCACGUCAGUGAAAAAAUUGAAACCUGUCCCAGUGUUAAUGGGGUGACCCUGAAGUGCAUAGGUAAGUCAUUAUGUAACUUUCUCAGUAAAUAGGUAUAGAGCAACUUCAUGUAAAGUGUUACCACCUGAUAAACCUCUGUCUCCAGACUGUGGUACCAGAGUAGUCUCCAAUUUGAGUUGUGUAGUGGGGGGCCAGGAGGCUAGUUUGGGGGCCAUGGCAGGUCAGCCUCCAGGACUUUCACGUCUGCGCGGUUCCAUCAUCACCCCAUACUGGAUAGUGAUGGCAGCACACUGCAUAGUGGAGUAAGUCCAUAGACAUAUAUACUGUACAGUAUGUGCACUAUAUCAUUGAAAUAUACACUACCGGUCAAAAGUUUUAGAACACCCCCAUUUUUCCAGUUUUUAUCGCAACAUAAGCAGUUCAAGUCCAUUGAAUAACCUGAAAUGGUACAAAGGUAAGAAGUAAACUUCCAGAGGUUAAUUUUUUUUAAAGGGUUUAGGUUAACAAAAACAGAAAAAUAAUGUACAUUUCAGAGUUAUAAGAAAGGGCCUUUUUCAGGGAAAAGGUAAUGGGUUAACAACAUACAGCUGUUCUGGAGCAAUGGAAGUAAAUUAAGCCUUGAAAGUUGAUGCUCACGUUUCCUACAGGUGUCCCAACUUUUGUUGAUUACUUACCAACCCUCUGUCUGGAUAACAGCAGUGUUGGAACAGACUGUGUUACUACACACUUUCAGCAUUAUUUGGACAUUAUUGUACUGCAGGAAGUAGUAUAUUGCUAUCAUAAUGUUGAGGAAAAAUGCAAUUAACAAAAGACAGACCAUUAUAACCCUUAACAGUGUAGGUCUUUCCUACACUGUUUCCUACACCAUCAAAAGGCACUUGGAAACUGGAGGAAAUUCUGACAGGAAGAGGUCUGGCAGACCCAAAACCACAACAGAAUCAGAAUACAAGUUUCUGAGAGUCAACAGCUUGCGUGAUAGGCGGCUCACAGGACAACAGCUUCAAGCACCUCUUAACACUGGUUGAAGUAAGCAAGUCUCAGUUUCAACUGUGAAGAGAAGACUUCGAGCUGCAGGUUUGACAGGUUGAGUGGCAGUAAGAAAGCCACUGCUAAGAUGGCAAAAUAAGAAGAGGCUUGCCUGGGCCACGAAGCACUGCCGGUGGACUACUGAAGACUGGACGACGGUCUUAUGGAUCGAGGAACAAACCAGACAUCUAUGGAAACGUGGCCUUCUUCCUAGGCUGGAUCUAUGAAACCAUUAAAUCCAUUGUUAUGAUUUACAUGCAUACACUUUUUAAUAAUAGGAAGUUGUAACUAUGGUGUGUUUGGUUUUGCAGAAAUAAAGAUAAACUGGGAAAUCACUGGUGGACAAUCAGAAUGAAAUGGUGGAAACAUUUUUCUGAAUAGAAAAGCCAGAAAGAUGUUUGUACGUACAGUGUUAUCAGAAAUUCCGAUGUUAUAAACAACAAAUUCAAUAUUUGUGCUCAUUUGUAUGUAUUCAUUAAAUGACUACUUCUACAUCCUGAUACUGUUCAGUUUGAAAAGUCAUUACGUUUAUGUACCACUUUGACCACCAGAUGGUGCUUGUUCUUGGUAGUUCCUCUUGAGCUCAAGAUUAGAGAC